rnacentral:rRNA from 1 species
UACAGAGGGUGCAAGCGUUAAUCGGAAUUACUGGGCGUAAAGCGCGCGUAGGCGGCUUGACAAGUCGAGUGUGAAAUCCCCGGGCUUAACCUGGGAGCUGCAUUCGAAACUGUCUUGCUAGAGUAUGGGAGAGGGAGGUGGAAUUUCAGGUGUAGCGGUGAAAUGCGUAGAUAUCUGAAGGAACACCGGUGGCGAAGGCGGCAUCCUGGACCGACACUGACGCUGAGGCGCGAAAAGCUAGGGUAGCAAACGGGG